UAGUAGUGGUUUCUUCCUGAAUGGUGGG
rnacentral:piRNA from 1 species